GUCAGGAUGGCCCGAGCGGUCUAAAGGCGCUGCGUUUCAGGUCGCAGUCUCCCCUGGAGGCGUGGGUUCGAAUCCCACUUCUGACA
rnacentral:tRNA from 2 species